rnacentral:lncRNA from 1 species
AAGUGUAGUAAGGAACCUAUCAAAGACACUCUUCAUAUAUGUUACUGCGUUUUCUUUUUCUUUUUAGUGUUUCAAUUAGACUCUUUCUUAUAGUUUCAAUUUCUCUGCUGAAAUUUCCUGUCAUUCACAUCACCCAAUUUUUCCACUAGAGUUGUUGUUUUUAAGUGCUUUUUUUUUUUUUUUUUUUUUUUGUGUGUGUGUCUCUUCAGUUUUGAUUAAACACAAGUCAUUCUGUGUGGUGCAGCAGGGACAAAUGUAAAUAAUAUUUAUGUCUAGACAAGUUUUUUUUUUUUUUUCCCCUGCUGAGCCCUUGGUAUGUGGGAGUGAGCGAAUCUAGUCAGGAGUUGUUGCUAUGGGUACCUUCUGGGCACUAGUGGUUUCCAGUUCCUCUGGUGUUAGGUUAUAUUUAGGAUGGCAGCUGGGAUGCUGGAGGGUUUUUCCUCCAUAUUCCUGCUAUAUCCUCUGAUGGUGACCUUCCAUCUAUGCUGCUGCCACAGGACUUGGGCUUGCCUCUUCCACCGGGCUAGAUUACUGCUGUUUGUCGCAGUGUUUGUUAGGCUCUUGGUGGGUGGCGGGAGGGUUGUUUAUUGUCUUGGUCCAGUCUCAGCCUUAGGGUCUGUGUGCCUGGCUUUCUCAUCCAUCGUACCCCUCUUCCCCAAUGGCAGACAAAUUCUGCCUUGUGAUUUUGGCAAAUCUUCUGUGUCAGUGUUUUGCUUCUUUUUCAGUGGUUAGUGACCUCUGAUUGUAUUGGUCUGGGGCCCUGGGCCCAGGGCUGUUUCUUGCCUCUUUUUCAGCGUAGAAGCUUAAUUCUUUAAUCUUCCCCAAAUAGCAAAAUGUCUCCAUCUGAGCCCUGGGGCCACAGACUUUCUUUCUCCCAAGCAUCUGAAGGCUUUUGCUCAUAGAUAUCAGAGUCUGGGUGGAGGUUUAUGCUUUUCUUACAGGGCAGCUCUCCCCUUCCUCCUGCAUGACACCAUGGAGGGAAGCUUUCUGCUGUCUCUGGCCCUUCCAGUCUGGUAAACAUGGGUAGAUGUCUAUGUGGAAAGCCUGGAGCGUGGGUAUGCACUCCUCUUUUGCUGUGGCUUUCAGCGUCUUACACUCUCAUAUUAGCCCACAUCUAUUAGCCCGUUAGCAAUUUGUUGGAUUUUUUCAGCUGCUUGUAUGAUGCCCAGCUUGCCUUCACAUCAUCAACAUAGAGGGAAGGGGGCCAGAAGGGGGGAAAAUGACCUCAUGGCCUCUAAUGGAAGAACACAAUAGUGUGCCGUGAAGACAGCCCGUUGCUGCCAUAGAGACCUGCCCUAAACAAAAUCUGUGAAAGAAGAUGCAGUCUGUGGGGUCUGCCAUGCACAUGCACCUACAUGCCCGCAUCUCUUCUUCCUCUGCCUGCCACAGUUGAGCCAGGUCUCAAGGUCUGUCUUUCCUUGGAUUUGAGGUUACUUGUUAGCCCUGUGACCUUAGCUAUCUGAUGAGUUUAAGGAAAGUAAUAAUUUUGUAUUUUAUCCCACUUAUUCUUGUUAGGAUUGAAGUGAGGUUCUUCCCAGGUUUUUUACCCACUAGACCUGAAUUUUCUGAUUUUUUUUUUUAACAACAAAACUAUGAAAGAAAGAUGUUUAUAUUCAUAAUCUCCAAAGUAUCUUUCUUCAUUAUUUCUUGAAUCUACUCCAAUAAAGUUUGUACCCUCAUCCCUACACCAAAAAUUGUUCUUUUUAAGGCUACCAGUAAACCCUGUAUUGUUAAAUACAAUGCUUAGCUCUGAGUUCUCAUCGUACUUUACCUUUCCACAUCACUUUGCACAGAUGACCCGUCACUCCUUCCUUAGUCAAAUACUUUAACUUGGAUUCUAGGAGACCGCAUCUUCUCGAGUUUCCUCUUACAUAAGAGGCUACUACUUCUUUACCCCCAUUUAGGGUUCCUUCUCUUUUCCUGACCUCUACAAAUAGAGUAUCUAGGGUUGAGUUUCUAGACUUCUUUUCUUCUUUAAUAAAUUCUUUUUGCAAUCUCAUCUAGUCCUGGAGUUUUAAAUAUCAUAUAUCCACUAACAACCUCCUCUGAACUCCAAAUUUAUAUACUACUAGACAUCUCAUUUAAAUGCCUGAGACAUCUUAAUUUAACGUGUCUAAAACCAGAUCUUCCCCCAACAAACCUGUUCAUCCUCCAGACUUCCCAAACUUAGUAAAUGCGUUCUCAGUAAAAGUCCUUCAAUUUGUUCAGACCAAAAACCUAGGAGUCAUCUUGGUAUCUCUUUUCAAAUCCCACAUCUAAUCUAUCAUCAACCCUUGUUGACUAUACCUUCAAAAUAUAUCCAGAACGAAUUGCUUCUUAUAAUCUAUGUUAUGACACCCUCAUUAACUCCACAAUCAUCUUUGGUCUGGACUAUUGUAAUAAAACUGUAACUGGUUUCUUUUUUCCUGCCUUCCUUCCCGAUCCAGUCUAGUCAUAUUUUGGCUAGCAACAGAAAAGCAAUAGCAAUUAUAAUUAGCAAUGUGAUAUUAGACAGGUCACAGCCUCUCUGUGUCUCAUUUUUUUCAUUUUAAAACUAUAAAUGUGGCGUUCCCAUCAUGGCUCAGUGGCUGAUGAACCCAACUAGUAUCCAUGAGGAUGUGGGUUUGAUGCCUGGCCUCCCUCAGUGGGUUAAGGAUCCGGUGUUGCCAUGAGCUAUGUGCAGCUCACAGACACAUCUUGAAUCCCAUGUUGCUAUAGCUCUGGUGUAGGCUGGUGACUACAGCUCCAAUUGGACCCCUAGCCUGGGAACCUCCAU